rnacentral:rRNA from 1 species
ACGGACGGUAAUGAAACCUAGUGAUUUAUCUCUUAGUGGCGGACGGGUGAGUAACGCGUGGGUAACCUGCCUUACACUGGGGGAUAACACUUAGAAAUAGGUGCUAAUACCGCAUAAGCGCACGAAGCCGCAUGGAUUUGUGUGAAAAACUCCGGUGGUGUAAGAUGGACCCGCGUCUGAUUAGCUUGUUGGCGGGGUAACGGCCCACCAAGGCGACGAUCAGUAGCCGGCCUGAGAGGGUGGACGGCCACAUUGGGACUGAGACACGGCCCAAACUCCUACGGGAGGCAGCAGUGGGGGAUAUUGGACAAUGGGGGGAACCCUGAUCCAGCGACGCCGCGUGAGUGAAGAAGUAUUUCGGUAUGUAAAGCUCUGUCAGCAGGGAAGAAAGAAAUGACGGUACCUGACCAAGAAGCCCCGGCUAACUACGUGCCAGCAGCCGCGGUAAUACGUAGGGGGCAAGCGUUAUCCGGAAUUACUGGGUGUAAAGGGAGCGUAGACGGCAGCGCAAGUCUGGAGUGAAAUGCCGGGGCCCAACCCCGGAACUGCUUUGGAAACUGUGCAGCUGGAGUGCGGGAGAGGUAAGUGGAAUUCCUAGUGUAGCGGUGAAAUGCGUAGAUAUUAGGAGGAACACCAGUGGCGAAGGCGGCUUGCUGGACCGUAACUGACGUUGAGGCUCGAAAGCGUGGGGAGCAAACAGGAUUAGAUACCCUGGUAGUCCACGCCGUANACGAUGAUUACUAGGUGUCGGGGGACCAAGGUCNUCCGGUGCCGGCGCAAACGCAUUAAGUAAUCCA